CUGAAGGCCAUGGAAGAAAGAAAAGGGAGGGAGGAAUACCAGAGGGAGGCAAUUGGCAGGCAAGGAGAUAAGUUGGAGAUCCGGAUAACACUGACAAUCUCCACCCCUGCUUUUCCUUGAGCAGGUGGGCAUGAGCUGCCUUUUGAACUCCUACAGGCAUUCACAGUAGAAGAAAGAAAGAAAGAAUGAAUAACUACACACAAAGACUGACUAACAAUCAAUGCACAAAGAAAAACUGCGAAGACAAACAAACAACUGAUAAAUAAAUAAUACUGAGG